UCCUGCGACCGAACAAGAGAAUUAGUAACAUUCAUUUGGUUUUAGUACUAGUAGAUAUUUCAUGUUCAUUUAGUGGCACAUAAAUUGUAAAUGUGCACCCACCGAACCAGGUUAUAAAAUGAUGGCAUGGACCAUGGAGCAAACAUAGUGCCAAGGCAAAAAGAGAACGCAAGAAAAGAGAUACAACAGUAGUUUGCCAUGUUUCAGACCAUUUCUUUCGUGAAAACAUACAAAUAUACACAUCAUAGAUUAGAGGAAGUCUUUAGAGCCCGGCUAAUUUCAGUAGCAGUCAAAUAAAAUAGUGUCUCGUGGGCAUAAGAGGUGUCGGGAACCGUUCAUUACACAUGCGUCCAUGUUUCACCUACUAACUUACAAGUGGAGGUGUCGUAAGUUCGUUGAUUGUUACCUUUUGGCAACGUAUCUUGUAACUACAGAAGGAGACCCGGUGUCGGAGCGUCGGAGGCCAGUCGUACUCACACCUUGAGUGAAUCAUCUGGCUGCAGCGCAGGGGCAUCAAAUAAUGAAGCAAGGGCGAGGCACACGAACAAUAGAGCAUAGAUGUGACAUAUGUCGGCAAGCGCAGCGGGUGAGGCUGCUUCAUAUGCUUUUGUGUGUGUCAGGCAUAAGUAUCCAACAGGUACAUGUAUGUACAUCAUAGUCAGAUACACCGUUGGCGCCGCAGCGGGAAAUGCAACAUCGCCGAUGUCGAUGUCGGGGUUUCGGGGAAAUCCUGCUAGACUCACACCACUAUUUUUUGUUUUUUGAGAUUGUCCCGUACGACUAAAUUAACUUGAUGGUAUCAUGCGAGUUGUUGUGUGAAUUUGUGCAAUAUAUUUUGAAGAUAUUUGAUUCUAGAAUCCGGAUAUGAAAAUGGAAAUUGAAAAGUCAUAUGACUUAUUUGUUACUUGUACAUGA
rnacentral:lncRNA from 1 species